rnacentral:misc_RNA from 1 species
AAGACUAUAGACCUGCGGAGUACCUGCGGAGGGAUCAUUACCGAGUUUACAACUCCCAAACCCCAUGUGAACAUACCUGUUUCGUUCCCUCGGCGGUGUCCGGCAACGGCCCGCCAGAGGACCCAACAAACUCUUUUGAAUUUUUCAGUAUCUUCUGAGUGAAAAAAACAAUAAAUCAAAACUUUCAGCAAUGGAUCUCU